UGACACAUUUUGGGUAUCUUAGCGUUCCAUUCAAGCAUUUUACUUUUAGCAGCUUAGGAUCAGAUAUUCCGAAUGUUGGUAAGCAUUUAAAUUGCACAAUCUUGUCAUGAACC